UACGUAGGGGGCAAGCGUUGUCCGGAAUUAUUGGGCGUAAAGAGCGCGUAGGCGGUCCAGUAAGUCGGUUGUGAAAGUCGGGGGCUCAACCCUCGGAUGCCGAUCGAUACUGCUGGGCUAGAGUCCGGGAGAGGCGAGUGGAAUUCCUGGUGUAGAGGUGAAAUGCGCAGAUAUCAGGAGGAACACCAAUGGCGAAGGCGGCUCGCUGGGACGGUACUGACGCUGAGGCGCGAAAGCGUGGGGAGCAAACAGG
rnacentral:rRNA from 1 species